rnacentral:lncRNA from 1 species
AUUCCCACCCUGGCCGUAUCAGCGGGCCUCCCUCUGGCGCUGGCGCUCGAUCCCCUUCAAAAAUCUCGCUCGGGUACUUUAGGUCUUUAGGGAUUUGGGAGGCGGCGACGCCGGCAGAGCGGCGACCUGGCGUCGGAGGAAGCGAGGGCGGCAGCUGCUCGACGGUGAGUGCCUCCCCCCUGUUCUCUCAUGUAUUUGGUCAGAGGAUUCCACAUGCUCUUGUCCUUAAUUCCCACUCUAAUCCCCCCCCCCCCCCCACCCCUGUUCUGGUUUAGGGUGCGGUGAGCUCGUCCUGUGAGUUCAGCGUGGAAGGAUACGGGCCUUCUAAAAUGCAGCUGCACGAAGAUUCGGUGGAGGAUAUGGAGCUUCCCAGGUCGUCAGUCCACAAACUAGACUAACAACCAAAGUCAGGCAUUCUAACAGUUGCAGAACUUAGACAAGAGUGGUCAC